AGAAAAGGACAUAUUCAUUUGGGGUUCAGUCUAAUGCCUCCCACACCCAGGAUUCUGGCUAAGGGUGGGAAGCCUUCACUCAAGGAUUCGGAGCAGGAAGGGUCCUCAGAGGUUGCCGAUCCUGCUGCUCACUGUCCUGUCCCAUUAAGAGAACUCGGCUGGGGACCCUGGGAAGCACUGUUUGGCUCAGCCAAUGGCACAGCCCACAGGGGAGCGAUGGGCCCGAAAGCACGGGGCUGGAGGGCAGGGGCACUUGACCUGACCCAGCCUUCCGGCCUCUCAGCUCCGGAGUGGGCACCACUGAGUGGGCUGCCUUCCUGACCCGCCUGUCCCAGCCCCCACUGCAAACACUGGCCACAGCCAUCGUGAUGGAACUGAAAUAAACCCUUUUAUUUA